CCUACGGGAGGCAGCAGUGGGGAAUAUUGGGCAAUGGGCGCAAGCCUGACCCAGCAACGCCGCGUGAAGGAAGAAGGCUUUCGGGUUGUAAACUUCUUUUCUCAGGGACGAAGAAAGUGACGGUACCUGAGGAAUAAGCCACGGCUAACUACGUGCCAGCAGCCGCGGUAAUACGUAGGUGGCAAGCGUUAUCCGGAUUUACUGGGGGUAAAGGGCGUGUAGGCGGGACUGCAAGUCAGAUGUGAAAACCACGGGCUCAAACUGUGGCCUGCAGUUGAAACUGUAGGUCUUGAGUACUGGAGAGGCAGACGGAAUGCGUAGUGUAGCGGUGAAAUGCGUAGAUAUCAGGAGGAACACCAGUGGCGAAGGCGGUCUGCUGGACAGCAACUGACGCUGAGGCGCGAAAGCGUGGGGAGCAAACAGGAUUAGAUACCCGGGUAGUC
rnacentral:rRNA from 1 species